rnacentral:rRNA from 1 species
GAUGAACGCUAGCGGCAGGCUUAAUACAUGCAAGUCGUGGGGCAGCAGUCCCGACGCAAGUCGGGAGCUGGCGACCGGCAAACGGGUGCGGAACACGUACGCAACCUUCCUUUAACUGGAGAAUAGCCCCUCGAAAGAGGGAUUAAUACUCCGUAACAUAAUGAUGAGGCAUCUCUUUAUUAUUAUAGCUCCGGCGUUAAAGAUGGGCGUGCGCCUGAUUAGANAGUUGGCGGGGUAACAGCCCACCAAGUCUGCGAUCAGUAACUGGUGUGAGAGCACGACCAGUCACACGGGCACUGAGACCACGGGCCCGACUCCUACGGGAGCAGCAGUAA